AACGAACGCUGGCGGCAUGCCUAACACAUGCCAGUCGAACGAGACCUUCGGGUCUAGUGGCGCACGGGUGCGUAACGCGUGGGAACCUGCCCUUAGGUUCGGAAUAACUCCCCGAAAGGGGUGCUAAUACCGGAUAAUGUCUUCGGACCAAAGAUUUAUCGCCUUUGGAUGGGCCCGCGUUGGAUUAGCUAGUUGGUAGGGUAAAAGCCUACCAAGGCGACGAUCCAUAGCUGGUCUGAGAGGAUGAUCAGCCACACUGGGACUGAGACACGGCCCAGACUCCUACGGGAGGCAGCAGUGGGGAAUAUUGGACAAUGGGCGAAAGCCUGAUGCAGCAAUGCCGCGUGAGUGAUGAAGGCCUUAGAGUUGUAAAGCUCUUUUACCCGGGAUGAUAAUGACAGUACCGGGAGAAUAAGCUCCGGCUAACUCCGUG
rnacentral:rRNA from 1 species